ensembl:lncRNA
AGCUUGGAUUACAACACACAACCUCAUUCUCCGGUCAGGGAGCCUUUUAUUUUUUACAAAGGAAAGAGUUGUUAUUAGUUGUUAAAUUAAUGCUGUAAAUGUUGAAUACAGAACAUUUAGCAACCCAAAAUAAGAAAAAUCUGAAUCGCUGCUGAAAACAUGACCUUCGUCAUCCGUCCAUCUGGCUAUGAAUUGGUUUAACUCUUCAACACAGUGAAAUAAAAACAAAUACUUUUUCUACGUUUUAGAGAUAAGAAAUUAUGCUCAGAUUCUGAUGCCAACUUAGGUUGUAAUGAUGUCUACCAAAUACACCUCACAGGGCUCAAAAGAUAAUACCAGAAGACUGGAUUAAAAAGCCCAUUUAAUGAGCUUUUAUGGGCUCACUCGAACUUUUUUCUGUCAUCAAAUUGGUUCCAAAAAUGCAUUUGUGUUGUUGAAGUUCAUUUUGUGACUUUUUGUGACGAACGAGUCUGCUGAAAAGCAAAAGCUUAUCACAGCUGUCAUUUUGACCGAUUCUAGAAAAUGUGUCCUGCGUAGGCCUACUGCUAAUUAUUUUUUUACUUCUGGGGUCAGCCCGAAGUUCAAACACAAAUCAUCUCUCACAAUCUCACUUUGUGUUCUUAUGUCUCAGAUGUCCCCCCAUCCGCAUCCUGUUCUGGGAAAAGAAUCUUCUGUUAUUGAGAAUCCUGCAGGAAAGCAGAGCUUGCUGCGAUCUCCAUCGUACACACAUUUGCUUUUGUUUUACUUCUCUUGUGAUAAAGCUGUGAAACCUACAUGUCUUGGUGUGAAGACGCCUCAUCCGGCCAAAAGCAACAAAGAUGGAGGAGAGACGCCUGCAUCGUGUUUGGUCAAAGCUCGGGAAUCGGUGGGAACAAAAGACUCUGCAAACAUUGGCUGAGCUCUCGCACAUAAACAACGCAGCGGAUGGAUCCGAUAGCAGAAUAAGUCAGAAAGGCUCUGAUUAUUAUUCAGGACACUAAGGUCCUCCCUCUCUAGCCCGAGUCGGAGCUUCGCCUGCAAAACUUUCCCUGGGAUGGAUCUUUUUAGAGGGAGGAGCGCUUCCAGAGAACAAAGGUGGC